GGCUACAGUUCAGCGGAAGAGUGCUUGUCUAGUAAGCAAGAGAGCCUGGGUUCAAGUCUCAGUAUCACCA
rnacentral:tRNA from 1 species